rnacentral:rRNA from 1 species
UACGUAGGUGGCGAGCGUUGUCCGGAUUUACUGGGCGUAAAGAGCUCGUAGGCGGUUCGGCAAGUCGGAUGUGAAAUCUCCACGCUUAACGUGGGGGGGCCAUUCGAAACUGCUGUGACUCGAGUCCGGUAGGGGAGUGUGGAAUUCCCGGUGUAGCGGUGAAAUGCGUAGAUAUUGGGAGGAACACCAGUGGCGAAGGCGGCUCACUGGACCGGAACUGACGCUGAGGCGCGAAAGCGUGGGGAGCAAACGGG